rnacentral:rRNA from 1 species
CAGCACCUCAAGUGGUCAGGAUGAUUAUUGGGCCUAAAGCAUCCGUAGCCUGCUUUGUAAGUUUUCGGUUAAAUCCAUACGCUCAACGUAUGGGCUGCCGGGAAUACUGCAAAGCUAGGGAGUGGGAGAGGUAGACGGUACUCGGUAGGAGGGGUAAAAUCCUUUGAUCUAUUGAUGACCACCUGUGGCGAAGGCGGUCUACCAGAACACGUCCGACGGUGAGGGAUGAAAGCUGGGGGAGCAAACCGGGAUUAGAUACCCGGGGGUAGUCCCAGCUGUAAACUAUGCAAACUCGGUGAUGCAUUGGCUUGAUGCCAAUGCAGUGCCGCAGGGAAGCCGUUAAGUUUGCCGCCUGGAAGUACGUACGCAAGUAUG